GAACAAAUCAGGACGCUUAGAGUAUGGCCACAUGAAUGACUCAGCGCAGUAUGAAGUCUUUGUUUCUUCCGAAAACAAGCUCAAUGAGAGCCAUCGGGGGUAGAUCUAUCUCAUGACGAGUGGUGGAAUACUUUGACUCAUGAGAGAGAAGCUGAGGCGAAGGCGUCUACCUAGAGGGUUUCUGUCGAUCAAGGGCGAGAGUAGGAGUAUCCAACAGGAUUAGAGACCCUGGUAGUUCCUACCUUAAACGAUGCCGACAGGAGUUUGUCAUUUGUUAAUGGCAGAAUCUUUGGAGAAAUCAUAGUUCUUGGGCUCUGGGGGAACUACGACCGCAAGGCUGAAACUUGAAGGAAUUGACGGAAGGGCACACCAGGGGUGGAGCCUGUGGCUUAAUUUGAAUCAACACGGGGAAACUUACCAGGACCAGAUGUUUUUUAUGACUGACAGGCUUCGGGUCUUUCAGGAUAUUGUUUUUGGUGGUGCAUGGCCGUUGGUGGUGCGUGGGUUGACCUGUCUAGCGUUGAUUCAGCUAACGAGCGAGAUUAUCGCCAAUUAUUUACUUUGCCGAAGUCCUUCGGUUAAAGUUCUAAUUGGGACUCCCUGCGAUUUUAGCAGGUGGAAGAGGGUAGCAAUAACAGGUCCGUGAUGCCCUUUAGAUGCUCUGGGCUGCACGCGUGCUACAAUGUUAGGAUCAAUAGGACUGCGAGCCUGAGAGGGUGCGCUACUCUUAUAAUCCCUAACGUAGUUGGGAUUGACGUUUGUAAUCAGCGUCAUGAACCAGGAAUCCCUUGUAAAUGUGUGUCAACAACGCACGUUGAAUACGUCCCUGCCCUUUGUACACACCGCCCGUCGCUCCUACCGAUUGGAUGACUCGGUGAAAUCACCGGAUGCUUACGAGCAGAAAGUGAUUAAAUCACGUUAUCUAGAGGAAGGAGAAGUCGUAACAAGGUAACGGUAGGUGAACCUGCCGUUGGAUC
rnacentral:rRNA from 1 species